CAACUUCACAGUCCUGCUGGCUGCCUUCUGGGCCCUGGAGGGAGUUAGAUAGGAGGGAGAAACCUCCAUUUUAGGGGCUGCCUUCUCUCCUCAUUUGCUGUGUAAUUCCAAGCGACGCUCCUAUUUGCCAAGGCUGAAAACAGAAUGAUCACUCCCCGCAGGAAGCUAAGGAACCAGACGUUGCCCUGAAACUCCUGGAAGAAAUUUCACCGAGGACCUAAGGCUCAAUGGUCUUUCAGAAAUCUCCUUUUCGUCCAAGGACGGCAUAGUCGCUUACACGUACGGGGCAUCUGUCAUUGCGCCUGGCCUGGGGGGCCCUGCCUUUCCAAGAAGAGAUCGCUGUUGUGCUGGAGCCCGAGAACCCCCGGAGCGCACACUCCUGAUGGGAGCGAGCACGUCGGGCCUACGUGGGAGUGAGUACGUCUGGCCCUGGUGGGAGCGAGCACGUUUGGCCAUGGUGGGAGCGAGCACGUUUGGCCAUGGUGGGAGCGAGCACGUUUGGCCAUGGUGGGAGCGAGUACGUACGCCGUGGAAACUGACAAGCUCUUCACAUGAGGACUUGAACCAUUUUGAAUUGCUGAGAGCUGGUUUACCAGCACGCCACUGGUUUCGGGAGACUAUAGAGCUUGAAGGAGCUGAUUUUGACUGGGGUUGACGUGGACUGCUUCCAAUGUGGAUGAGAGCAAAGUUCCAGAAGCAAUCUCAAAUUUAGUUUUAUUCCAGGAGUUGACAAGCUUUUUGUAAAGGAGUCAGAUAAUAAAUAUUUUAGACUUUAUGAGUUGCA